UAAUAGUCAAUUAUGCCACAGUUUGUUUGUUAAACCAUUCACCUGUUGGUUGAAGAUACCUUUUAACAAGUGAAUGGUUAGACAAACUGUGGUAUAUACA
rnacentral:pre_miRNA from 1 species